rnacentral:rRNA from 1 species
UACGUAGGUGGCGAGCGUUAUCCGGAAUUACUGGGCGUAAAGCGCAAGCAGGCGGUCUGUUAAGUUUGACGUAAAAUCUCCUGGCUUAACUGGGAGGGGUCGUUGGAGACUGGCAGACUUGAGGCGAUGAGAGGGGCAUGGAAUUCCCGGUGUAGUGGUGGAAUGCGUAGAGAUCGGGAGGAACACCAGAGGCGAAAGCGGCCAUCUGGACGGAUUCUGACGCUGAGACGCGAAAGCGUGGGUAGCAAACAGG